CAGUAGCCGCGGGAAUACGGAGGGGGCUAGCGUUGUUCGGAAUUACUGGGCGUAAAGCGCACGUAGGCGGCUUUGUAAGUUAGAGGUGAAAGCCCGGAGCUCAACUCCGGGAUUGCCUUUAAGACUGCAGAGCUGGCAGGUGAGAGAGGUGAGUGGAAUUCCCGGUGUAGCGGUGAAAUGCGUAGAGAUCGGGAGGAACAUCAGUGGCGAAGGCGGCCAUCUGGGACAACACUGACGCUGAAGCACGAAAGCGUGGGGAGCAAACAGGAUUAGAUACCCGCGUAGUCCCUGUCUCUUAUAA
rnacentral:rRNA from 1 species